GCCCCGUGUCCACGCAUGAUCCUCUCAGGGC
rnacentral:piRNA from 1 species